rnacentral:rRNA from 1 species
AGUGUACGCUGGCGGUAGGCCUAACACUUGCAAGUCGAACGGCAGCACAGUAAGAGCUUGCUCUUACGGGUGGCGAGUGGCGGACGGGUGAGGAAUACAUCGGAAUCUACUUUUUCGUGGGGGAUAACGUAGGGAAACUUACGCUAAUACCGCAUACGACCUACGGGUGAAAGCAGGGGAUCUUCGGACCUUGCGCGAUUGAAUGAGCCGAUGUCGGAUUAGCUAGUUGGCGGGGUAAAGGCCCACCAAGGCGACGAUCCGUAGCUGGUCUGAGAGGAUAAUCAGCCACACUGGAACUGAGACACGGUCCAGACUCCUACGGGAGGCAGCAGUGGGGAAUAUUGGACAAUGGGCGCAAGCCUGAUCCAGCCAUACCGCGUGGGUGAAGAAGGCCUUCGGGUUGUAAAGCCCUUUUGUUGGAAAAGAAAAGCAGCAGGUUAAUACCCCGCUGUUCUGACGGUACCCAAAGAAUAAGCACCGGCUAACUUCGUG